ACCCUGGCUCAGAUUGAACGCUGGCGGCAGGCCUAACACAUGCAAGUCGAGCGGUAGAGAGAAGCUUGCUUCUCUUGAGAGCGGCGGACGGGUGAGUAAUGCCUAGGAAUCUGCCUGGUAGUGGGGGAUAACGCUCGGAAACGGACGCUAAUACCGCAUACGUCCUACGGGAGAAAGCAGGGGACCUUCGGGCCUUGCGCUAUCAGAUGAGCCUAGGUCGGAUUAGCUAGUUGGUGAGGUAAUGGCUCACCAAGGCGACGAUCCGUAACUGGUCUGAGAGGAUGAUCAGUCACACUGGAACUGAGACACGGUCCAGACUCCUACGGGAGGCAGCAGUGGGGAAUAUUGGACAAUGGGCGAAAGCCUGAUCCAGCCAUGCCGCGUGUGUGAAGAAGGUCUUCGGAUUGUAAAGCACUUUAAGUUGGGAGGAAGGGCAGUAAAUUAAUACUUUGCUGUUUUGACGUUACCGACAGAAUAAGCACCGGC
rnacentral:rRNA from 1 species